GUCGAACGAAGUAGUAAUACUUAGUGGCAGACGGGUGAGUAACAUGUAGGUAUCUUCCCUUUGGUGAGGAAUAACACGAGGAAACUUGUGCUAAUACCUCAUAAGUCUUUACGGAGAAAGCUUUAUGCGCCGAAGGAUGAGCCUGCAUUUGAUUAGUUUGUUGGUGGGGUAAUGGCCUACCAAGACUUUGAUCAAUAGCUGAUCUGAGAGGAUGAUCAGCCACAUUGGGACUGAGACACGGCCCAAACUCCUACGGGAGGCAGCAGUAGGGAAUAUUGCACAAUGGAGGAAACUCUGAUGCAGCGAUGCCGCGUGAGUGAAGAAGGCCUUUGGGUUGUAAAGCUCUUUCGUCGGGGAAGAAAAUGACUGUACCCGAAUAAGAAGGUCCGGCUAACUUCGUGCCAGCAGCCGCGGUAAUACGAAGGGACCUAGCGUAGUUCGGAAUUACUGGGCUUAAAGAGUUCGUAGGUGGUUAAAAAAGUUGGUGGUGAAAUCCCAGAGCUUAACUCUGGAACUGCCAUCAAAACUUUUUAGCUAGAGUAUGAUAGAGGAAAGCAGAAUUUCUAGUGUAGAGGUGAAA
rnacentral:rRNA from 1 species